UACGGAGGAUCCGAGCGUUAUCCGGAAUUAUUGGGCGUAAAGAGCUCGUAGGCGGUUUGUCGCGUCUGCUGUGAAAGACCGGGGCUCAACUCCGGUUCUGCAGUGGGUACGGGCAGACUAGAGUGCAGUAGGGGAGACUGGAAUUCCUGGUGUAGCGGUGAAAUGCGCAGAUAUCAGGAGGAACACCGAUGGCGAAGGCAGGUCUCCUGGGCUGUAACUGACGCUGAGGAGCGAAAGCAUGGGAGCGAA
rnacentral:rRNA from 1 species